GUUGGGCAUAGUGGUGUGUGCCUGUAGUCCCAGCUACUUGGGAGGCUGAGGUGGGAGGAUUGCUUGAGCUUAGGAGUUUGAGGUUACAGUGAGCUAUGAUUGUACCACUGCAAUCCAGCCUGGGUGACAGAGUGGGACCCUGUCUCUU
rfam:Gorilla gorilla gorilla genomic chromosome, chr10, whole genome shotgun sequence